CACGCCGUAAACGAUGAGAACUAAGUAUUGCUGUGAAGCAGUGCUGAAGCUAACGCAUUAAGUUCUCCGCCUGGGGAGUACGGUCGCAAGACUGAAACUUAAAGGAAUUGACGGGGCCCCGCACAAGCAGUGGAGCAUGUGGUUUAAUUCGACGCUACGCGAAGAACCUUACCAGGAUUUGACAUGGAAUUAAAGACCCUAGAGAUAGGGGGAUAGUCAUAAUUCACACAGGUGG
rnacentral:rRNA from 1 species